rnacentral:misc_RNA from 1 species
UCUCCGUUGGUGAACCAGCGGAGGGAUCAUUAAAGAGUUCUAUAACUCCCAAACCCAUGUGAACAUACCUUACGUUGCCUCGGCAGGUCGUGCCUACCCUGUAGCGUCCUACCCUGUAGGACCUACCCGGUAGACGCGGGUAAGCCUGCCGGCGGCCCACGAAACUCUGUUUAGUAUUGAAUUCUGAACCUAUAACUAAAUAAGUUAAAACUUUCAACAACGGAUCUCUUGGUUCUGGCAUCGAUGAAGAACGCAGU